rnacentral:lncRNA from 1 species
AGAGCUGGCUCGUCGUUAAAGUAUCGAGCCAAAAAAUUUAGCUCGUGUUCUGCUCGUUAAUAAAUGAGCCGAACACGAGCUGACUCAUGAGCUGGCCAACGAACAAUAAGNAAUAAACGAGCCGAACACGAGCUGGCUUGUUAAAAUAUCGAGUCGAAAAAUUCAGCUUGUGUUCGGCUCGGCCGAAAAAUUCAGCUCGUGUUCGGCUCGUUAAUAUGCUCACGAGCUGGCCAACGAACAAUAAGUUAAAAAGAUUAAAUUGAAUAUAUAUAAAAAAUAAAUUUAUAAAAUCUUAUCCAUUAGACUUUGAUCUAAUGGUUGAAACUUUAUAUAUAAAUAAAUUUUUUUAUUUAUGAGUUCACUUUUAUAUUUUUAUUUUACUAAAAAUUAAAUAAUAAAAAUAUAUAUUAUAUAUAUAAGUAUUUAUUUAUAUAUAUAAAUAUAAAUUAAAUAAAUUAUAUAAAUAUAAAAUAUAUGUAUUUGAGCUGUUAUCGAGCCGAACACGAGCGAGCAGGAGUGCUGCUUCACAGAGAAGCU